UUUUUAGUGGGUGCUAAUUUAAAAUAGCCCAUUUGGAUUGUUCUGCUUUGUAAGGUUGUCUCAUAUUUAGGCUUUAGUGGAGAGCAGGUCGGUGACCCGUUAGCUUUUUUGAUUGCUAGUCUAUAAUCUGAAUCGAAAACCAUCCUUGCUUCGUUAUAGAAAAUAUUUGCGGAUUUCGACAAUUUAUCAACCUUUUAUGUGCUUACGCAUCUGAAGUGCAACAUAUUUAUGGGGUUUACCUUCAAAUUGCCACUUUUUACUGCUUUUCUAGUAGUGAUCUCCGUAUAAAUAACUUUCACAGACCUGUACUGAAACACUGAUUGCUGUUUAUUUAUCUGACGAGAUUUGACGCGCUGUUCUCUCGUUUUCGCGUUAAAAUGAGAAUUGUCGUGUGAAGUUCUGGAAGUUGGGAGUGUAAGCACGUGUCUUAAAACAAUUGUUCUUUUGCAGCCUUGCAGACCAGGAUGAGCCUGCAGUGCAUGGACUGGGAGGGUGGGUUUUAUUUUGUUGUCAUGGAGUCUGCUGGAAUGAGGUCAAGGCCUUUGAGCUUUAUGGUGCCUACAAGUGAACCUGCAUGCACUGGGUAUCCAUGGACCUUUUUAUAUGGUUCCACUUUUGAACUGAAGGAGUGCAGUCAAGGUCUUUUCUGGUAGUGUCUGCACAAAGUAAUCUGGGAAAAAAAAACGAAGGGCCUGGGUUGUGCAAAGGAGCAUUGUGCUAUAAACAAAAGAAUGGGUUGAAUCCUUCCUGUCUAUCAGGUGGUGUACAUGACAUUGCCUGUACAGAUAAGAGUUCUGCAACAGAAUUCCCGCUGGAUGUUUUGCACCUUUUGAAUUUGGCAAGGUGUAUCCCAUGUCUGGAUGAUAAUGGACUUUGCUGUCCAAG